GCCAGCAUUAUGUAGUGGUUUGAACAAUGGACUACCACUCUGGAGAUCAGGGUUCGAUUCCCUGCUCAGCCA